AUGCAAGGACGGAGUAGGUGCAGUUUUGAUGCAACAGGGACAUCCCAUCGUUAUCUUAGUAAAGCUCUCUCUCAUAAGAACACGACCCUUAAUGCUUAUGAAAAAGAAAAUCUGGCAAUACUGAUGGCAGUGGACAAGUGGAGGCCCUACCUGCAACAUCAACACUUUGUCAUUCGUACGAAUCAACAUGCACUCCUAUACCUGAUAGAGCAGCGUUUGUGUACUAGGAUUCAUCACAAAGCGUUUGUCAAGCUCAUGGGUCUCAACUAUAUACUAAUGUUGCAGCUGAUGCACUCUCGCGCCGCGAGCAUGAUGCUCCUUUGCUUGCCUUCUCAACUAUCAUUCCUUCUUGGUUGGAGACACUAG
rnacentral:rRNA from 1 species